GCUGGGGUAGUCUAAUUAGACAUCUGAUUUCGACUCAGAAGAACUUAUACCACUUAAGCCUUAGUA
rnacentral:tRNA from 1 species